rnacentral:lncRNA from 1 species
CUGGGCUCCAGGGACCUGGUAGGCACGGCUGUGGCCAGGUCACCGGGAAGCCCUGCGCUGGGAGGGGCCAUUGAGGUAAGUGCCUUACUAAGGUUUUCCACUUUCUGCAGGAGCCUCCCUGCCCCAGGGCAGCAGGAGGGGCCUCAGUUGCCACCUCCCGUCUUGGGGUGCAGUGCAGGUCUGCCGUCUAGACCCCUCCAGGCCUGGGCAAACAGCACCCCCGCCCAGGCCACCACCAGCCUGGUCCAGAGUGUAGGGUUUUCUCAGAUUGCUGUGGAAGGUCAUUGGCAGCACAGCACACGGCACCAGCAAGGUCAGGAACAAACCAAGAAGCCCACAGUGCAGCCUCCACAGCAGCCAUGAAAAGAAAAUAUGAAUUUUAAAGUAACAGUGCCACUGUGCACUGCUGGUGGGAAUGUAAGGUGGCACAACCACUGUGGAGAACAGUCUGGCGAUUCAGAAAUUCAAACAGUACUACUACCCUAGGAUCCAGUGUUCCACCUCCGGGUGUACACCCGAAGAAGUGAAAGCUGGAACGCCAAAAGAUUGCACGUCCAUGUCCACGCAGCACUGUCCACAGCAGCAAAAGGUGGAAACAACCCACGUGUCCUUAGAUGAGUAGAUAAACAAACCAAGGUGCGUCUUUCGGUACAAUGGAAUAUUACUCAGCCUUGUAAAGGCAAGUGACACAUGCUACAACAUGGAGGAACUUUGAGGACAUUAUUCUAAGUGGUAGAAGCCAAUCACAAAAGGACAAAUGCUGUAUGACUCCAUGAAUCUUGAGGUGUGCCUGGCACAGUCAGAUUCAUAAAGACAAAGUAGAUUAGAGGCUGCCAGGAACUGGGGGGAAGGAAUGACUUAGUUUCUAAUAGGGACAGAGUUUCUGCUUAGAAUGCUUAACAAGUUCUGGAUAUGGUGCGGAUGGUUGCACAUUUUAUGUUAUAUAUGUUUUAUGACAAUUAAGAAAUGACCUGUAAGCCUGCCAUCUGGAUAACUCCAGUAAACACAUCUUAAUUUAUGUGAACUAUGGUGUGUAUUUGUAAUAUAUAUGUGUUACCUAAAGUUACACAUGUUUAAAAAAUUCAGGCCAGG